rnacentral:rRNA from 1 species
UAAGGAAUAUUGGUCAAUGGACGCAAGUCUGAACCAGCCAUGCCGCGUGGAGGAUGAAGGUCCUCUGGAUUGUAAACUUCUUUUAUCUGGGACGAAAAAGGGCCUUUCUAGGCCAACUGACGGUACCAGAUGAAUAAGCACCGGCUAACUCCGUGCCAGCAGCCGCGGUAAUACGGAGGGUGCAAGCGUUAUCCGGAUUCACUGGGUUUAAAGGGUGCGUAGGCGGGCAUGUAAGUCCGUGGUGAAAUCUCCGAGCUUAACUCGGAAACUGCCAUGGAUACUAUGUGUCUUGAAUGUUGUGGAGGUGAGCGGAAUAUGUCAUGUAGCGGUGAAAUGCUUAGAUAUGACAUAGAACACCAAUUGCGAAGGCAGCUCACUACACAAAUAUUGACGCUGAGGCACGAAAGCGUGGGGAUCAAACAGGAUUAGAUACCCCCGUAGUCC